AGCGGACUGCGCGGCCGCGGCGCAUCCCGAAUGCGACGAGGAAAGUCCGGGCAUCGCAGGGCAGGACGCCUGAUAACGUCAGGUGAAGGCGACUUUAAGGAAAGUGCAACAGAAAUAGACCGCCGCUCACGCGGCAAGGGUGGAAAGGCGAGGUAAGAGCUCACCGACGGGACGGUAACGCCCCGUGCCAUGUAAACCCCGUCCGAUGCAAGGUUGGGCUGUAUUCACACAGGGUUGCCCGCCCGAAUGCAGCCGCGAAUACCGCUUGAACUUAUCGGUGACGAUAAGUGUAGAUAAAUGACCGCGCUCGACAGAACCCGGCUUACAGGUCCGU
rnacentral:RNase_P_RNA from 1 species